rnacentral:tRNA from 1 species
GGAGAGGUGGCCGAGUGGCUGAAGGCGCACGCUUGGAAAGCGUGUUUAGGCAACCCCUAACGUGGGUUCGAAUCCCACCCUCUCCGCUA